AGAACCGCCAAGCCAGAGCUCAAGUACAUGAACUGAGGACAACCAAAGGCACCCUCACGCAAUUCCCAGAGGAAAUAGCAGAAGAAUUCCGAAAAUAUUAUCAAACUCUGUACAACAUAGACCCCUCGACAUCAGGUGACCGCCAAGACGACAGAAUAGUAGCCACAACACAGUACCUCCAAAACUUUAGACCCGAAGCGCUUUCCUUAGAAGAGGCAAACGCGAUAGAAACACCGAUAACAACGGAAGAAAUACAAGCGGCGAUCAAACAAGCAAAAACCGGGAAGGCCCCGGGCCCAGACGGCCUACCGGCAGGCUAUUACAAAAAAUUCGGCGAAUUACUAGCCCCAUACCUGACAGGAGCGCUGAACCGACUGCAGCAGGGAGACAAGUUCCGACAGGAAACUCUAGCAGCAACAAUAACAGUAAUACCAAAACCGGGAAAAAACCCUGAAAUCUGCGG